rnacentral:rRNA from 1 species
GAUGAACGCUGGCGGCGUGCCUAAUACAUGAAAGUCGAGCGAACGGACGAGAAGCUUGCUUCUCUGAUGUUAGCGGCGGACGGGUGAGUAACACGUGGAUAACCUACCUAUAAGACUGGGAUAACUUCGGGAAACCGGAGCUAAUACCGGAUAAUAUUUUGAACCGCAUGGUUCAAAAGUGAAAGACGGUCUUGCUGUCACUUAUAGAUGGAUCCGCGCUGCAUUAGCUAGUUGGUAAGGUAACGGCUUACCAAGGCAACGAUGCAUAGCCGACCUGAGAGGGUGAUCGGCCACACUGGAACUGAGACACGGUCCAGACUCCUACGGGAGGCAGCAGUAGGGAAUCUUCCGCAAUGGGCGAAAGCCUGACGGAGCAACGCCGCGUGAGUGAUGAAGGUCUUCGGAUCGUAAAACUCUGUUAUUAGGGAAGAACAUAUGUGUAAGUAACUGUGCACAUCUUGACGGUACCUAACCAGAAAGCCACGGCUAACUACGUG